GAUGUGUCAUAUUCCACAUUUACUUUUUUAUUACAAAAAUCUAUGAAUAAUCAAGUAAACUCCGUAUUUUUGAAAACACCUUUCUUUGUCCUGCAUACUAAAUAUUAUUUGUAACAGCUUUCUCUUCUAAAAAAAAAAAAAAAAAAAAAAAAAAAAAAAACUGUAAUGGUGUGUUGAAAAAUCACUGCAAACAUAAUAAAAAAGAAACCCUUAUACAGGUGGUCAAACUCAAAGAUGCUCUGCGAGACACACUGCCACUCAGAGGACAUUGGGAAAACUGUGCUUUGUUCAUUUAUUGAUCGCAGGGCGUUGCUGGAAUGUUCACAAGAUGUAGUUGAAUGGAGUCUUUUAAAGGUUUUUAUUGAUCAUUGAACACCUCAAGAUUCAAUAUCCACGUUCUUGCAAUAAGGCUUUAUAUUUUAUUGUGUGCACUGUUUGUGUAUUUUUGUAUAUGCAUACCAAGGAGUGAAUAUGCAGAAGUUAAUCUCCAAUUUUUAAAACAUCAUAUUUUGAGGCGUAAGGAGAAUAUAAACCAGAUUUUUCCUGAAGUGACCCUGUGUUUUCUGAGUGUAUGUGUGUGCUCUGACAUUUCAAACAGAGCUGAGGUGUGUGUGUGGUGAUGUGGGAGGCUGUCACUUUUUUUUUCUUUUUCUCACCCACACCAUCAUCUACACAGUCAAACCAUGUCUGGGUAACCAUUGUGGAAUCCCUGUUGCAUAGCAACACAUCUCCAACACAUUCCAGACAAGUGUUACUUCUGUUUUGCAGCCAGCCUCAUUCACGUCUCUCUUCGGUAUCGCUCUUUCCUUUACCAUAGGCAUUUGUUAUCAUAUGGAGAAUGUCAAUCAGUGUAAGAGAGCCACGAGAGGGCUCAUCUGAUGCAGUGAUGAUGAAGAAGAAAGGUGAUAAAGAUGAGUUUUGAAAUGUUUGAAACAAUCAAGGGAAGUGUAGCUGUCACACAUGACCUCUGGUGUUCAGAUUAACAUUUGUCUUCAAACCAGUUUGAGUGUUUGACAGUAAAUUAGCACAUUUACUGUUUUAAACAAAAAAGAAUGUUGAUACAAGUUUUUAUUAAUUAUUAUUAUUAUUAUUAUUAUUAUUUUUUUUUUUUUUUUUUUUUUUUGUGAAUGUACUGUCUUUGGUGCUUCAAGUUAGAUAUUCCUGCAUGUGGACAGUCAAAUCAUUCCAUUAACAAUCUCUAUGAAUGUAUGAAAAGGAAAUUGUUAAAAGGGAGGGGGGGAAAUGAUAUAGAGUAGUGUAAGGUCAUGAUUUGCACACCUUCGCUUCCCUGCCCAAAAGUAAGGUUUCUAAUGGUCUAAUGGGUAAAGUGCACAAUGUUAUUAGACUGUAGCUCUUGCUGAGAGCAAGGAUUUUGGGUUACAGGAGCAUGCGUGUUCAAAUGGCAAGAGAGCCAUUUAUUUUAUCUAGGGACACAGCCUCUUCACAGCAUGCUAAAAGUGCAGCACAAACAAACUGGCCAAAUUAAAAUGGCAAGCCAUGCAGAAAAUCCCUUAAUGUCCAGAGGUGAGCCCAGCACUGCCUGAAAAUGUUAGAGAGGGCUAUAAUAAGCUGGAGAUUGUGAGAGGAAAAUACAGUUUCAUUUGAACUAUUGGACAUGUUUUAAAUGAACUUCACCAGCAAGCUUUAGGGUAUGUUGAUUCACACGUUUCAUCACAAAUUAAACUAAUUAAUAAGUUUUGUGACUGUGCUUCUAAACCUUGAUUUCAACUUAAUUGUAUUAUGUACUUUUAUGGAAUUUUAUUUACUGCCAUAAUACGAGGACAAAAAAAGGUGUACUUGUGCCAUCUUGUGGACAUAAUAAUAUUGUCUGAUUACUCUACUGUUUUAAUAAUUGUGGUUUAAGGAUCUUAAAUAGUGUUUCAUUGAAUACCUUAUGUCUCCUUCUUAUUUAUUUAUUUAUUUAUUAUUAUUAUUAUUAUUAUUAUUAUUAUUAUUAUUAUUAUUAUUAUUAUUAUUAUUAUUAUUAUUACAUUUUCAUUCUUUUCAAGGAUUUCCUAAUAAGCAAAGAAGGGAUUUUUUUUCAAAUGCUGAAGAAAAACAUUCUAAAUGUUAAUGUUCAGACGCUAUUAGAAGGAAGUACUUGUGAUUGUGAUCAAACAUCCCAUGAUUUACCUUAAAAAUACAGGAUUGAUGGAAAGAAUUUCCCUUGUUUGUCGUAUACUGCUGCACACUCCAGUCUGGUGUGUGGCGAUAAUACGCCUUUAAAAUUGGUUGUCAGCCACCAAUUAAAUCUAAAGAAGAAGAAAACAAUUGGCUUAAAUAGACUCAUAUAAAAGAAUAUAGUCUUUUUUUGUUGUUGUUAUUUUUUAUUAUAAUCAUUAUUUGUUAUGUUUUUAAUUUCUAGUUUGUUUAUUUGUUUUAUGGUUUAUUUUUGUCCUAAAAGAUAAAUCCCGAUCCAUAAAUGUAUUCCAGUCGGUGGCAGUAAUGCACCAGUCAGUUAGGUUGCCAUCCGCUAAUAAACAUCAAAGAAGAAGAAGAAGGUUUGCUAAGCGGAACUAAUGUGAACUCCAAACCUUUCCUCGGAAACACGGAACAGUUUUAGUGUGACAUCACAAUGGUUGCGCACUAGAAAGUGCUCAAAUAGUUUUAAAAUAUACGAAGGGUCAAGCUGUCUCCGCUUUUAUAGAAACAACAACUAUAAAUUGUCCCCAGAAUUAAAC
rnacentral:lncRNA from 1 species